CCUACGGGUGGCAGCAGUGAGGAAUAUUGGUCAAUGGGCGCGAGCCUGAACCAGCCAAGUAGCGUGAAGGAUGACUGCCCUACGGGUUGUAAACUUCUUUUAUAAAGGAAUAAAGUGAGGCACGUGUGCCUUUGUGGAUGUACGUUAUGAAUAAGGAUAGGCUAACUCCGUGCCAGCAGCCGCGGUAAUACGGAGGAUCAGAGCGUUAUCCGGAUUUAUUGGGUUUAAAGGGAGCGUAGAUGGGUUGUUAAGUCAGUGUUGAAAGUUUGCGGCUCACCCGUAAAAGUGCAAUUGAUACUGGCAGUCUUGACUCCAGUUGAGGUAGGCGUAAUUCGUGGUGUAGCGGU
rnacentral:rRNA from 1 species